rnacentral:rRNA from 1 species
UGUAAGCGUAUACCAAAGUUGUUGCAGUUAAAACGCUCGUAGUCGGAAUUUGGCAGUUCCGGAUGUGUGCACGUCGUGGGCGCACUUCGCGGGGAUUGCUUUUGUGGUCUUGCGUAGGAUGAGGCACUUUUAUUAGUGAACGUCCUCACGCAACCACUUUUUACUGUGAGAAAAUCAGAGUGCUCAAAGCAGGCAUUUGCCGUGAAUGUAUUAGCAUGGAAUAAUAGAAUAGGACUUGGUUCUAUUUUGUUGGUUUGUUGGGACUGAGUAAUGAUUAAGAGGGACAGUUGGGGGCAUUUGUAUUUCGGUGCUAGAGGUGAAAUUCUUAGAUUACCGAAAGACAAACUGCUGCGAAAGCGUCUGCCAAGGAUGUUUUCAUUGA